UCAACCUACAAAAAUCAAGGUGGUUAUGAUUUGCUGGGUAGGACUAGAGAUCAAAUAAGAACAACUGAGCAAGUAAAUGCUGCACUAACCACAUGCAAAGAUAUGAAAUUGGAUGGCCUUGUUAUAAUUGGAGGGGUUACAUCAAAUACAGAUGCUGCUCAGCUUGCUGAAACAUUUGCUGAGGCAAAGUGCUCAACAAAGGUGGUUGGCGUUCCUGUUACUUUGAAUGGAGAUCUCAAGAAUCAAUUUGUUGAAACAAAUGUUGGUUUUGAUACUAUAUGUAAGGUUAAUUCACAGCUCAUCAGUAAUGUCUGUACUGAUGCUCUUUCUGCAGAGA
rnacentral:misc_RNA from 1 species